AUGCGUGAUGUAAUAUUUAAGGGCGGUUCUAGUGAAGAGGGGAGGAGCAAGAGCUCAAGCAAUCGUAGUAAUUUUUGGAGGAGUAAUAGCUCAGGUAGUAAAGGCAGCGACGGUCCUUCAUGGCGCAAAAAUCUGUCAAGCACAGAUGGCGAUGGGACAAUUAAUAAGGGAGAAGGAGAGGAUACCAUCCCACUCAAAAUCAUACUAGAUGAGCAAACAAAAGUUACAGGGAGCAAGAAACUAGUAUAUGAUGAGACGAACUCUGAAUCUAUUUCAAAAAAGGAACAUAAAGAAGGAUUUGAGUCUGAAGUGACUAAUGAGGCAGCAGUACAAUCAUGUCAACGGGGUGAUAGUGAGAGGGCUCAUGACGGAAAAGGUAAAAAUGUCCAAGGUGAAGAAAAAGAAAAUAUGGUGGUACAAAAGUUAGAAGCAAAUGAGAAGCAGUAUACAUUCAGAAGGGUGAAGAAACCCAAAGGGAAGCAACAUAGUGCUCCUGUUGUUGUGGGACCCAAGAAUAGGAUUGCCGAAUACAUGGAGUUCGAUGAUGAGGUGGAAUUUUUUAAGAAGGCAAGGAUGGAGGUUGAUGGCGAAGAAGAGGAAGAAGAUAGUGCAAAACAAGUUGCAGAAGGAAAAAGACCGGAUGGUGGAAGCAGUGGGCUGCAUGGACAACCCGGCGAGUCAAAAUGA
rnacentral:rRNA from 1 species